CAAGUCAGCCAGGCAAUCGCCGCUCGGUAUAACCGGGGGGAGGAAAGUCCGGGCUCCGCAGGGCAGAGUGCCUGUUAAUUGCAGGGCGGCGUGAGCCGACGGAAAGUGCAGCAGAGAGCAGACCGCCUAAGUCGCUUCGGCGACCGGCAAGGGUGAAAGGGUGCGGUAAGAGCGCACCGCAUGGCUGGUAACAGUCCAUGGCACGGUAAACCCCACUCGGAGCAAGACCAAAUAGGGUUCCUUCAGGCGUGGCCCGCGCUGGAACCGGGUAGGUCGCUUGAGCGUGCUGGUGACAGUACGCCUAGAUGAAUGAUUGCCCACGACAGAACCCGGCUUAUCGGCUGACUUGCGCC
rnacentral:RNase_P_RNA from 1 species